rnacentral:rRNA from 1 species
CCUACGGGCGGCAGCAGUGGGGAAUAUUGGACAAUGGGCGAAAGCCUGAUCCAGCCAUGCCGCGUGUGUGAAGAAGGCCUUCGGGUUGUAAAGCACUUUCAGUGGGGAAGAAAGCCUUGGGGCUAAUACCCUCGAGGAAGGACAUCACCCACAGAAGAAGCACCGGCUAACUCCGUGCCAGCAGCCGCGGUAAUACGGAGGGUGCGAGCGUUAAUCGGAAUUACUUGGCGUAAAGCGCGCGUAGGCGGUCUGAUAAGCCGGUUGUGAAAGCCCCGGGCUCAACCUGGGAACGGCAUCCGGAACUGUCAGGCUAGAGUGCAGGAGAGGAAGGUAGAAUUCCCGGUGUAGCGGUGAAAUGCGUAGAGAUCGGGAGGAAUACCAGUGGCGAAGGCGGCCUUCUGGACUGACACUGACGCUGAGGUGCGAAAGCGUGGGUAGCAAACAGGAUUAGAUACCCCGGUAGUC